rnacentral:rRNA from 1 species
UAGGGCCGAAAUCCUAUCUUAUUAUUCCAUGCUGCAGUAUUCAAGGCGACAAGCCUGCUUGAAACACUCUAAUUUUCUCAAAGUAAAAGUCCUGGAAAAAACUCCACACAACGAAGUGUGGAGAAAUCCAGAAGGAUGCUAGAAUUCACCAAGUGCACACCCCUGAGGGCGGACUGGCUGCUUCCAGCAGAAAUCCAACUACGAGCUUUUUAACUGCAACAACUUUAAUAUACGCUAUUGGAGCUGGAAUUACCGCGGCUGCUGGCACCAGACUUGCCCUCCAAUUGUUACUCUGAAAGGGGUUUGGAUUCCUAUCAUUCCAAUCACUAGAAAUGAAAUUUCCAGUGUUGUUAUUUCUUGUCACUACCUCCCUGAAUCAGGAUUGGGUAAUUUGCGCGCCUGCUGCCUUCCUUAGAUGUGGUAGCCGUUUCUCAGGCUCCCUCUCCGGAAUCGAACCCUAAUUCCCCGUUACCCGUCACUGCCACGGUAGUCCAAUACAGUACCGUCGAAAGCUGAUAGGUCAGAAACUUGAAUGAUCCGUCGCAGACCGAAGUCAACGCGAUCCGUUCGGUUACUAUGAAUCACCUGAGGACCACCGGAAGGUGGGUUGGUUCUGUAUCUAAUAAACACUGCCCUUCCAGGGGAAGAGGCAUGUGCGCAUGUAUUAGCCAUAGAAUUACCACGGUUAUCCAGUGUAGUAAAGACCAUCAAAUAAACUAUAACUGUUUUAAUGAGCCAUUCGCAGUUUAGCCGUAUAAAAGCUUAUACUUAGACAUGCAUGGCUUAAUCUUUAAGACAAGCAUAUGA